rnacentral:rRNA from 1 species
UACGUAGGGUGCAAGCGUUAUUCGGAAUGACUGGGCGUAAAGGGUGCGCAGGCGGUCUGCUAAGACAGAGGUGAAAUCCCGGGCUUAACCUGGGAAUGGCCUAUGUGACUGGCAGGCUAGAGGAUGGCAGAGGGAGGCGGAAUGCCAUGUGUAGCAGUGAAAUGCGUAGAGAUGUGGCGGAACACCGAUGGCGAAGGCAGCCUCCUGGGCCAAUCCUGACGCUCAGGCACGAAAGCGUGGGGAGCAAACAGG